UGCGUAGGCGGAUUAAUAAGUCAGUGGUGAAAACCUGCAGCUUAACUGUAGAACUGCCAUUGAUACUGUUAGUCUUGAGUACGGUCAAGGUAGGCGGAAUGUGUAAUGUAGCGGUGAAAUGCUUAGAUAUUACACAGAACACCGAUUGCGAAGGCAGCUUACUGGGCCAUUACUGACGCUGAGGCACGAAAGCGUGGGGAGCGAACAGUAUUAGAUACCCUGGUAGUCC
rnacentral:rRNA from 1 species